UUAAAUUGAAGAGUUUGAUCAUGGCUCAGAUUGAACGCUGGCGGCAGGCCUAACACAUGCAAGUCGAACGGUAACAGGAAGCAGCUUGCUGCUUUGCUGACGAGUGGCGGACGGGUGAGUAAUGUCUGGGAAACUGCCUGAUGGAGGGGGAUAACUACUGGAAACGGUAGCUAAUACCGCAUAACGUCGCAAGACC
rnacentral:rRNA from 1 species